UAAAGGUUCUUAAGAAAAACCUAGACAAAAAAAAGAAAACGGACGUAGAAAUAUGAUAAGGAAUAUUGAGGGUAAAACCGUAGACGUAUUUCAUUCCGAAGGAAAACCAGGAAGAUAAAAACUUAGGGAAUUGAAACAUCUUAGUACCUAAGGAUAAAAAUCAACCGAGUUUUUGUGAGUAGUGGCGAAUGAAAGCAAAAAAAAAGGCUAAAAAGUUUAAAAGAUCUUAUAUAAAACCGUAGAAAAGGUUGCAAAAACAUGUGCAAGCCAUGUAAUAUAAGAGAAAAACUAAAAAAGAGUAGGGCGUUGAAACAGAUGUCUGAAUUUAGGGGGACCGCCCUCUAAGCCUUAAAUAAUUUUUUUUGAUCGAUAGUGAACAAGUACCGUGAGGGAAAAGGUGAAAAUUUCCCCUGAUAAGGGUUUGAAAAAGUAAGAAUUUGAGAACUGGCAAACAGUAGAUCGAUUAAAAAGUUAAAAGAUCUAUGUACUUUUUGCAUAACGGAUCAGCGACUUAGUCUUUAAAGCGGGCUUAAACAAUAAUGUGAAAGCAAAAAGAAAUUAAAAAAGGUUUUAAAGAAAAGACCCGAACCUAAGUGAUCUAAAUAUGAGCAGGUUGAAGCUUCAUGAAAGUGAGGUGGAGGACUGAACCCACGAUUGUUGCAAUACUCGGGGAAGACUUGUGUUUAGGGGUGAAAGGCCAAACAAACUUAGAGCUAGCUGGUUUUCUCCGAAAUCUAUUGAGGUAGAGCCCUUUUUUAAUAUCUUAUGGGGUAGAGCACUUCAUGGGUGUGGGGGGCGUAAAGCUUUACCAUUUCCAAGAAAACUCCGAAUACGUAAGAUAGAAAAAGGAGACAGGCUUUGGGCGCAAAGGUGCAGAGCCAAGAGGGAAAGAGCCCAGAUUACAAUCUAAGGUCUUAAAUCUCUUCCUGAGUGUGAAAGGAAUAAUGUGUGCGAAACCAACUGAAGGGUGGGCUUAGAGGCAGCCAUCCGGUAAAGGAAAGCGUAACUGCUCAUUGGCUUAGCCGCACUUGACCAAAAAUGUAACGAGUCUCAAGGAAGAAACCGAAGAUAUAAAUAACUUGGUAGGAGAACGUUGUGUAUGUCGUAGACGAUCAUUUUUGAAAAUAGAUCAUAGACUUCACAAGUGACUAUGCUGAUAUAAGUAACGAUAAAUCAUGUGAAAUGCAUGAUCACCGAAACUCCAAGGUUUUCUACGUCAUGUGAAUCUGCGUAGAGUUAAACGGCCCCUAAGAGUAAGCCGAAAGGAUAUCUCGAUGGGAAAUUAUUUUGAAAGAUUUAUAAAAAGUCUUAGGUUUUUUCGUUGGAGAAAAAAACUCGAGUAUUUUAUAAGCAGGAAAAACCAAAAUACAAAAACCGUACCGGAAACCGACACUGGUGGAGGAGUAGAAAUCUACGAAGGUGAUCGAAAGAACCAUUUUUAAGGAACUCGGCAAAAUGACUCCGUAACUUCGGGAUAAGGAGGGCCUUAUUAAUAUUUAUAUUAUUAAGGUGGCACGAAAUCGGGGGUAGCAACUGUUUAACAAAAACACAUGACUUUGCGAAGUUGUAAAACGCUGUAUAAGGUCUGACACCUGCCCGGUGCCGAAAACUAAAAGGGAAAGGUGAAUUAUUUUUAUAAAUAUGGAGCUUCAAACUGAUUGUUCGGUAAACGGCGGUCGUAACUCUAACGAUCCUAAGGUAGCGAAAUUCCUUGUCCACUAAUUAUGGACCUGCAUGAAUGGUGUAAUGACUGCCCCGCUGUCUCAAAAAUGGAUUCGGUGAAAUUGAAUUCUCCGUGAAGAUGCGGAGUAUUAGCACCUAGACGGGAAGACCCUGUGCUUCUUUACUAUAACCUUUUAUUGAAUUCUGGUUUUUCUUGUGUAGAAUAAGUGGGAGUUUUAUUUAUUUAUGAUUUAUCAUAAAUAAAUAAAGCGUCAGUGAAAUACCACUCUUGGUCUACUGGAAGUCUAACCUUAAUCUUAAGGAACAUUGAAUGGUGGGUAGUUUGACUGGGGUGGUCACCUCCUAAAGCGUAACGGAGGUGUACGAAGGUAAGUUCAAAUGGUUUAGAAACCCAUUUUUGAGUUUAAUGGCAUAAACUUGCUUGACUGUGAGAUAGACAUAUCUAGCAGGGACGAAAGUCGGUCAUAGUGAUCCGGGAGUACUUUGUGGAAAGGCUCUCGCUCAACGAAUCAAAGAAACGCCAGGGAUAACAGGCUAAUAACUCCCAAGAGUUCUUAUCGACGGAGUUGUUUGGCACCUCGAUGUUGAUUCAUUGCGUCCUGGGGGUGCAGAAGCUCCCAAGGGUUCGGCUGUUCGCCGAUUAAAGCAGUACGUGAGUUGAGUUCAGAACGUUGUGAAACAGUUCGGUUCCUAUCUAGUGUUAAUGACGAAAAAUUAAAAGGAUUUCUCUCUAGUACGAGAGGACCGAGAUUAAGCAGACCUAUGGUUUAUCGGUUGUAUUGCCCUAUGCAUCGCCGACUCGCUACGUCUGCAAGAAUAACUGCUGAUAGCAUAUAAGCGGGAAAUCUUCCUUAAAACUUAUUUUUACUUGCGUAGAAGACUACUACGUCGAUAGGCAAUUUAAGUUCUUUAGUAAUAAAGAAACUUUUUUGUACUAA
rnacentral:rRNA from 1 species